GAUGAGGUGGCCGAGAGGUUAAGGCGAUGGACUGCUAAUCCAUUGUGCUCUGCACGCGAGGUUCGAGUCCCACCCCUUCGCA
rnacentral:tRNA from 1 species